GAGCCUUCCCCUUUGUUUCCCUCAGUGAUGCUAGGGUCUUGAAACUCAGCCCAGUACAAUCAUUGGUGUUUGAGCUGGCAACUGGGGGUCUAAUUGCCAACUAAGAUGGAUAUCUCUGGCUCUGGAGAAACAGCUGGGAUAGGACAUUGUUGCUUCUCUGCGGCAGGCAGCUCGUGAUGCAAAUGCCGAGUUUGGACCAAUAGGAUUCAAACUUUGGUGGCUGCCUCCAGCAUGCACUCUUUGCACUGCUCUGCUUCCUCCUGCCACUCUGGUGACAUUUGCGUGGAGAUAGGGUUUCUCUGUGCAGUCCUGGCUGUCCUGGAACUCACUCUGUAGACCAGGCUGGCUUAACGUUAAUGAAGACACCCAAAAAGAAGAUGGAACACCGGAGUGCUUUUGCCAUCAAACUUAUUCGUGCACUGUGUCAAUGCCACAGCUGAUGUGGGUGGUGGAAAUCCUACGGACAAGAGCAAAGACAGCACCUUGUCCACCAGAGUCCAUGGCAGUGUGCUCCUGAACAUGCCACUAAAGCAAACCACACGUCGUGGCCAGCUUUCCGUCCCUUAGAGGAUGCUGUGUAUAAUAAACAGCAUCCAGACUGAGGGACUACAACAAGAACAGCAAGGCUUUUUGUUCCCAAUUACAUUCAGAGGAAGCCUCACCAUGUCUAUGGAUGCCCAGCAGGCUCUUCACCUGUGGCUCAAACCUCAAUCAGCUUUAGGGCAGCUACGAACAGACAGUCCCUCUGCCACACCUCAUGGAAGUCGUCUGCCUGUCCAGCUGAACAUGGAUUUGUUUUGAAAUGACACGGAGAGUUACAUAAAGAAAAACUUGUUCUGACAAGAAAAGACUUGAGGAGAUAAAAAUCCUCCUGGUCUCGGGGUUCUCCAGAUCUCUUCCCACAGCAUCCUUGUCUCCCUGAGGAAAUGAGUAGUAUUUACAGUAUUCUGCUGCUAUGCUCAACAGAUUCUUGUAUGUACAGUUCUCACCUCUUUUCUCAGAACCUUCUCCGGUGAAUGCCACCUUUGUCUUGCAGGGCAGCUGAAGUGAGAGAUGAAACAGACUCUUUUAUAGGGGCUCACUACUCACUUUAAGCCCAGGGCUUCUGGCAAAGUGUGACGUACUUGUUCUUGGAUACCAGAGAUGGCAGACUCCAAAUCUUGUCAUCUUCAAUUGCAAUGGGGAACAAUUUGGCUUCAAAUAAUUUUUCCAACAUACAUGAAGUCUGAAGGAAUUUUUGAAGAGCUCAACAGUAAUGCUUUUCUCUAGAGAUGAUCGUCCUUUAUAGCUUGGUCAUGGGAGGUUCAUAAGGGAGCCUCCUGGACAUGGUACUAUCAACGUGCACGAGAGGUCCACUCUGGUUUGGAAACCCACUGUCUUCUUCCUGGCGCUAGCUUUUGCUAAUCCAGAGAACCUAACUUUCCAGACAUAAGGUGGCAGGUGAGCCUGAUGGAUAGUUCCUGGCCGAAGCAGCUCCUGUCUUGUGUCAGACAUCUACAGCAGACAUGGAGGAGUCCUAGCUGAGCAGCCCAAGAAGAUGAGCAGAAGAUAGGGGUGUGCAGGUCUCCCGCACUGCCCCCUUGACACAUAUGCUACCUGGGGGUUUCUCCACGUUAUCUCACAGAUUUUCACAAAAUAAGUGUCCAUAUUCCAGGAAGGCUAAGGCUGGAAACUAUUGCCUGUUGCACACAUUGCUUCCUAGCUGGCUGGAGAAUGUCCUGCUAGUCACUGUGACAUGCUUUUUCCGGGAGAAAUGAGAAACCUUUUUUGUAAGAAUGGGCAUCAUGGAAGAAGAAGAACUAGACAUUUCCAUGGACAAGAAUUCAUUACAUCACUGCUCCUUUGACAGACAGGGCUGGAAGCCCUGGGGUGCACAGAGCCUCAGGCUAGCAGCCAGCUCACCAACUCUCAUGCUUUCUGUUUCUCCACAACAUGAAGACACAAAAAGAACUUAGUUUCAUGGACAUGGCAUGAAAUGAAAAGUCAGGCUUCAUUUGGCACUUUGUUUGGGUCCCCAAAUAACAAAAUAACUACUUAAGAAAU
ensembl:lincRNA C030034L19Rik RIKEN cDNA C030034L19 gene